ACGAACUGUGCAAACGUUAUUCGGAAUUACUGGGCUUAAAGAGUUCGUAGGCGGCUUGUUAAGUCGGGUGUGAAAUCCCUCGUCUCAACCGAGGAAUUGCGCUCGAAACUGGCGAGCUUGAGUGAGAUAGAGGUGAGCGGAACUGAUGGUGGAGCGGUGAAAUGCGUUGAUAUCAUCAGGAACACCGGUUGCGAAGGCGGCUCACUGGGUCUUGACUGACGCUGAGGAACGAAAGCUAGGGGAGCGAACGG
rnacentral:rRNA from 1 species